UUGCAGCCCAGAUGCUGCCAAACACAAGCAAUCAAUGGAAGGAAUGGCACAAUGAGCAGACAAGCAUGUGGAAGCAGCUUAUGAAGAAAUAGUUAAAUGCCGAGCUUUGUCCCAGCUGAUGCCGUGAUAACUCCUGACCUGAUGGUAAGAAGUAUCUUCUAGCAGGUGGGAUGAAGAAGACAUGUCAGACUUUGGGCUUCACUGAUACAAUUCCAACUGUGCCUGCUUCCAGAAAAAAAAGAAGACAGCAGAAACAUCAGCUUCCAGAAUUCCAUGCCUUUUCUAGAAGAUAAAUAGAAAUCAAUAGCACAAGAAUAUAGCCUGAAUUCAGGCUAAAUUAGAGAAACUGAACAAGACCUCCUUGCUUUCUGAGAUCUGUUCUUGAUUAUAAGAGAAUGAACUUCUGUGAACAAAUAAGCAAGUGGCUUUAAAAGAAAACUGGAGAAAUAGCAAACAGUGAUGCACAGAGACAUCUUGGGCAGAAAAGGGAUGGAGUGAAUACUGAAUUGACUUUCAUAUGCUUGGGCUUUCUGGUGUCCACUGAAGAGAUGAUAAGCAAAAAGGAUUAAAAAAUAACUUUCUAAUUUAUAAAUCCAAUAUCUGCUUCAUGUUCCUAUCAAGAAGAUAUCAAAGAAAAAGAGACAAUGGAGAUCAAGGAUAAGAACAGGUAAAAAAACAUUAACCAAGCAAAAGAAUUUACUGUUAGGCUGGCAUGCUCUUGCUCAAACAUCCAUGGUCAGUAAUUUAAAGAAGUCUGAAACUUGGCUAGUGUUUGUAUAAAAUUGCUAUUUUUAAAGGUGAAAUUAUUUUCUUAAAUUACAAAAUAUUCUAUAGGUGCCAGGUUCUGCUGCAUUUCCUUAUGAAUUGUCUCCAUGAAAUUAAUGAGAACUGCUUGAAAAGACUCCUGUGUUUAAAGGGUUCAUAGUCUAACUUUCAGUUUACAGUCCAUUCACUAUAGCACUUUUAUAUAGUAAACAAGUGAAAGUUUCCUUCCUGUGCUUGCCUAACUCAGAAUUCAACAGAUUGUUUCACUGGGAUGAAUGUAUAUUCUUGCCAACACCUAAAAUGCAAAGCAAGUUCUUUGUGCCAACAUGUCUACGCAAAGUUAAUGAGAUAAGUGUUUACUUGUUGUAAACACUUACAAAACAUAAAGUUGUAAUUAGAAAUGUUCUUAUUUCAGUGGCCCUGCAGGAAGAAGACAGCUUCCACCCUCAGCCUUGCAAUCUGCAGAUUCCCCCUUGAUGUUCUUUAAUGUAUAGCCUCUGUUUUUUCCUGUGUGUUAAGAAGGUGGGCUUUGCAUUGUGUUAGACAGUGGUUGUUAGCAAUAGCUGACUACUCUUUCAGGAUCUGUUCCACUGGUUCCCUGGGUAAUUCUGUGAAAACUCAUGGAAGUUAUAUAUGUCCAUUGCCAUUGACUGUGGGAUAGAAAAUCUGGGGCUUUGAAUCUCUCUUUUUUUGCAGGUUAGUUAACUAGGCCCUUCUAAUGCAAAUCUUAUACAUGUGGGCAUCUCUGAGGAUUUUUUCACUUCUCUGUGUUUACCCAGAAGAGGAUGACCUGUGUGCUUUCUUCCCCUUUUCCUCCCUUCCUCUUAUUAGCCUUACAUGUGACUCAUGUUUCUUCUUCUGUGCCACCUGUCCUUCUGUUUUCUGAAGCAUAAAUUGUAGCUUGUAUUUCUCUAUGGAAUUGUGUUAUGAGUGAGACAGAACUGAUACAGAGGUGGAAAAGAGCUAUGAUUAUCUGGAAGGAUAUUGCUGGAUAUCAUCCACUAUCUGAUGAAGAGAUAUUUGUAGAAGUGCUCAAAGUUGUGGUUUUUCACAAUUUUUAAAACUACUUGUCUUGUAUUUCCUUCUAUUUUGUAUUCUAGUUUUCUCUAAAUACAAAGGACUCUGUUGACUGAUGCCUAGAAAACAUUAUGAAACUUUGAAGUAUUAUUGAAUGUAAUAUUCAGCAAAAAUAGAUAUCAAUAAAUACUACUUAAAAUGUUUAA